ACAGCAGUCGCCGCGGUAAUACGGAGGGAGCUAGCGUUGUUCGGAAUCACUGGGCGUAAAGCGCACGUAGGCGGCUAUUCAAGUCAGGGGUGAAAGCCCGGGGCUCAACCCCGGAACUGCCUUUGAAACUAGAUAGCUUGAAUCUUGGAGAGGUCAGUGGAAUUCCGAGUGUAGAGGUGAAAUUCGUAGAUAUUCGGAAGAACACCAGUGGCGAAGGCGACUGACUGGACAAGUAUUGACGCUGAGGUGCGAAAGCGUGGGGAGCAAACAGGAUUAGAUACCCCUGUAGUCCUGUCUCUUAUACA
rnacentral:rRNA from 1 species